GAGCCUUUCACCUACCCAAAAUGCCACAUGAAUAGUGAGAAUUCAUAUAAUCGACUUCUCAAGCUUGCUUAGAAUUAAAACAAACUAGUUGUAACUUGUACAUCUUAUGAUGUAUUCUCAAUGUUCUAGUGUCUAAUUUUUUGACUAAAGACUCUUGGAUUUGGGUAUGUCUAAGUACCAGCAAAAAUUUCGUGUAGCCUAGAACGCGGAUCCAUUGUUCUUCGUCUGUCCAAGCAAAGUGUCUUUCGCCUCGUUUAUUUUAGAAGCAAGGUAGUGACUACCUCCUGCAUCUGGAUGGUUAGCUACCAUCACCUUCCUAUGUGCUUCCCUCACUUUAUUUGCUUCAGUGUUUUCCCUGACUCCAAGAAUCAGAGCUGCUUCCCUUCUGUUCAUUUUAGGCUGAAAACCUCCUU
rnacentral:misc_RNA from 1 species